rnacentral:misc_RNA from 1 species
GAUGAAGAACGCAGCGAAAUGCGAUAAGUAGUGUGAAUUGCAAAAUUCAGUGAAUCAUCGAAUCUUUGAACGCACAUUGCGCCCCUUGGUAUUCCAUGGGGCAUGCCUGUUCGAGCGUCAUUUGUACCUUCAAGCUUUGCUUGGUGUUGGGUGUUUGUCCAUUCUCUUGCAGAGGGACUCGCCUUAAAGUAAUUGGCAGCCAGUGUUUUGGUUUUGAAGCGCAGCACAAGUCGCGAUUCAACGCUAUACGCCAGCUUCCACAAGCCUUUUUCACUUUUGACCUCGGAUCAGGUAGGGAUACCCGCUGAACUUAAGCAUAUCAAUAAGCGGAGGA